rnacentral:rRNA from 1 species
CGUAGGUAACCUGCCUGGUGGCGGGGGGAUAACUAUUGGAAACGAUAGCUAAUACCGCAUAAAAUUGAUUAUUGCAUGAUAAUUAAUUGAAAGAUGCAAUUGCAUCACUACCAGAUGGACCUGCGUUGUAUUAGCUAGUUGGUGAGGUAACGGCUCACCAAGGCGACGAUACAUAGCCGACCUGAGAGGGUGAUCGGCCACACUGGGACUGAGACACGGCCCAG